rnacentral:rRNA from 1 species
UUAAAUUUGACUCAAACACGGGGAAACUUACCAGGUCCAGACAUAGUAAGGAUUGACAGAUUGAUAGCUCUUCUUGAUUCUAUGGGUGGUGGUGCAUGGCCGUUCUUAGUUGGUGGAGUGAUUUGUCUGGUUAAUUCCGAUAACGAACGAGACCUUAACCUGCUAACUAGAUAUUUUCAUUUUAUGAAUAUAUCUUCUUAGAGGGACUAUAUGCUUUAAGUAUAUGGAAGUUUGAGGCAAUAACAGGUCUGUGAUGCCCUUAUAUGUCCUGGGCUGCACGCGUGCUACACUGAUAUAUACAACAAGUGCCUAGCUAGAUAUAGUAUGGCUUUCUUUUUAUAUAUAUCGUGAUGGGGAUAGAUCUUUGCAAUUAUAGAUCUUGAACGAGGAAUUCCUAGUAAGUGCAAGUCAUCAUCUUGCAUUGAUUAUGUCCCUGCCCUUUGUACACACCGCCCGUCGCUCCUACCGAUACCGGGUGAUCCGGUGAACCUGUUGGACCCUUUUGGGAAAAAUAAGUAAAUCAUAUCACCUAGAGGAAGGAGAAGUCGUAACAAGGUUUCCGUAGGUGAACCUGCAGAAGGAUCAUAAUCUAGAUGCAUCUCGCGAGUGUCACCGAAUCACUGCCGCGUACCG